rnacentral:rRNA from 1 species
UCCGUAGGUGAACCUGCGGAAGGAUCAUUAUCGAGUUUUGAACGGGUUGUAGCUGACCUCUUUUUGGGGUAUGUGCACGCCUGGCUCAUCCACUCUCAACCUCUGUGCACUUCAUGUAAGAGAACGGUGUAAGCUGAUUUUGUAAAGAAGUCAGUGACAAGCCUUCUCUUGCGUUUUACCACAAACACUUCAGUUAUAGAAUGUUUACUGUGUAUAACACAAUUAUAUACAACUUUCAGCAACGGAUCUCUUGGCUCUCGCAUCGAUGAAGAACGCAGCGAAAUGCGAUAAGUAAUGUGAAUUGCAGAAUUCAGUGAAUCAUCGAAUCUUUGAACGCACCUUGCACUCCUUGGUAUUCCGAGGAGUAUGCCUGUUUGAGUCUCAUGGUAUUCUCAACCCCUAAAUUUUUCUAGUGAAGAUUUGGUGGGCUUGGACUUGGAGGUUGUGUUGGCUCUCGCUAGUCGACUCCUCUGAAAUACAUUAGUGUGAACCUUACGGAUCGCCUUCAGUGUGAUAAUUAUCUGCGCUGUGGGGGUGAAGUAUUUAUUGUAUUCACGCUUCUAACCGUCUCUCCUUCGAGACAAAUACUUUGACAAUCUGAGCUCAAAUCAGGUAGGAUUACCCGCUGAACUUAAGCAUAUCAAUAAGCGGAGGAAAAGAAACUAAGCAAGGAUUCCCCUAGUAACUGCGAGAGAAGGCGGGAAA